rnacentral:rRNA from 1 species
UGCUUAACACAUGCAAGUCGAACGGUGAAAGAGAGCUUGCUCUCUGGAUCAGUGGCGAACGGGUGAGUAACACGUGAGCAAUCUGCCCCUGACUCUGGGAUAAGCGCUGGAAACGGCGUCUAAUACCGGAUACGAGCUGCGAAGGCAUCUUCAGCAGCUGGAAAGAACUUCGGUCAGGGAUGAGCUCGCGGCCUAUCAGCUAGUUGGUGAGGUAAUGGCUCACCAAGGCGUCGACGGGUAGCCGGCCUGAGAGGGUGACCGGCCACACUGGGACUGAGACACGGCCCAGACUCCUACGGGAGGCAGCAGUGGGGAAUAUUGCACAAUGGGCGCAAGCCUGAUGCAGCAACGCCGCGUGAGGGACGACGGCCUUCGGGUUGUAAACCUCUUUUAGCAGGGAAGAAGCGAAAGUGACGGUACCUGCAGAAAAAGCACCGGCUAACUACGUGCCAGCCGCCGCGGUAAUACGUAGGGUGCAAGCGUUAUC